rnacentral:rRNA from 1 species
CCUACGGGUGGCAGCAGUGAGGAAUAUUGGUCCAUGGCCGAGAGUCUGAACCAGCCAAGUAGCGUGAAGGAUGACUGCCCUAUGGGUUGUAAACUUCUUUUAUAUGGGAAUAAAAUGUUCCACGUGUGGGAUUUUGUAUGUACCAUAUGAAUAAGGAUCGGCUAACUCCGUGCCAGCAGCCGCGGUAAUACGGAGGAUCCGAGCAUUAUCCGGAUUUAUUGGGUUUAAAGGGAGCGUAGGUGGAUUGUUAAGUCAGUUGUGAAAGUUUGCGGCUCAACCGUAAAAUUGCAGUUGAAACUGGCAGUCUUGAGUACAGUAGAGGUGGGCGGAAUUCGUGGUGGAGCGGUGAAAUGGUUAGAUAUCACGAAGAACUCCGAUUGCGAAGGCAGUUCACUGGACUGCAACUGACACUGAGGCUCGAAAGUGUGGGUAUCAAACAGGAUUAGAUACCCGAGUAGUC